ACUGCCAAGAAAAACCUCUAGCGAGGCUGCGGGUGCCCGUACCGCAAACCAACACAGGUGGACGAGAAGAGUAUUCUAAGGCGCUCGGGUGAUCCGCUCUCAAGGAACUCGACCAAUUAGCCCCGUAACUUCGGAAGAAGGGGUGCUACCGUCGGUGAAGGCCCUCGCGGCCGGAGCUGCCGGAAGUGACACUAAAGUGGCUCGGGCGACUGUUUACUAAAAACACAGGUCUCUGCAAAGUCGCAAGACGACGUAUAGGGACUGACGCCUGCCCAAUGCCGGAAGGUUAACGGGAGAGGUCAGCGCAAGCGAAGCCUUGAACCGAAGCCCCGGUUAAUGGCGGCCGUAACUAUAACGGUCCUAAGGUAGCGAAAUUCCUUGUCGGGUAAGUUCCGACCUGCACGAAUGGCGUAACGAUCCGAGCAUUGUCUCGAGAGCGGGCCCGGUGAAGUUGUAACACGAGUGAAGAUGCUCGUUACCCGCAUAAGGACGGCAAGACCCCGUGCACCUUUACUACAGCUUGAUAUUGGGUUUAGUUGCAACUUGUAUAGGAUAGGUGGGAGACGUCGAAGCUGGAGCGCAAGCUUCGGUGGAGUCACCCUUGGAAUACCACCCUGGUUGUUAUUGAAUCCUAACUCCGAACCCGUGAAUCCGGGCGGAGGACAGUGUCUGGUGGGUAGUUUGACUGGGGCGGUCGCCUCCAAAAGAGUAACGGAGGCGCCCAAAGGUUCCCUCAGCAUGUUUGGAAAUCAUGCGAAGAGUGUAAAGGCAUAAGGGAGCUUGACUGCGAGACCUACAAGUCGAGCAGGUGGGAAACCAGGGCUUAGUGAUCCAGCGGUACCGUAUGGAAGGGCCGUUGCUCAUCGGAUAAAAGGUACGCCGGGGAUAACAGGCUUAUCUCCCCCAAGAGUUCAUAUCGACGGGGAGGUUUGGCACCUCGAUGUCGGCUCGUCACAUCCUGGGGCUGAAGCAGGUCCCAAGGGUUCGUCUGUUCGCCGAUUAAAGUGGUACGCGAGCUGGGUUUAAAACGUCGUGAGACAGUUUGGUCCCUAUCCUAUGCGGGCGCAGGAAAUUUGAUGGAAUCUGACCCUAGUACGAGAGGACCGGGUUGGACGAACCUAUGGUGCUCCGGUUGUCACGCCAGUGGCAUCGCCGGGUAGCUAUGUUCGGAAGGGAUAAGCGCUGAAAGCAUCUAAGCACGAAGCCCAUCCAGAGAUAAGAUUUCCCUGGGCGCAAGCCCCUGAAGAGUCCUGGUAGAACACCAGGUUGAUAGGCUGGAGGUGUAAGCACGGUGACGUGUUCAGCUGACCAGUACUAAUUACUCGUGAGACUUGGUCUU
rnacentral:rRNA from 1 species